rnacentral:rRNA from 1 species
UGGGGAAUAUUGGACAAUGGGCGCAAGCCUGAUCCAGCAAUGCCGCGUGUGUGAAGAAGGCCUGCGGGUUGUAAAGCACUUUCAGUGGGGAGGAAGGCCUAAUGGUGAAUAGCCAUUAGGAUUGACGUUACCCACAGAAGAAGCACCGGCUAACUCUGUGCCAGCAGCCGCGGUAAUACAGAGGGUGCGAGCGUUAAUCGGAAUUACUGGGCGUAAAGGGUGCGUAGGUGGUCUUUUAAGUUAGAUGUGAAAUCCCUGGGCUUAACCUGGGAAUGGCAUUUAAGACUGAGAGGCUAGAGUUUGGUAGAGGGAAGUGGAAUUUCCGGUGUAGCGGUGAAAUGCGUAGAUAUCGGAAGGAACAUCAGUGGCGAAGGCGACUUCCUGGACCGAUACUGACACUGAGGCACGAAAGCGUGGGGAGCGAACAGGAUUAGAUACCCCGGUAGUCC